GACGAACGCUGGCGGCAUGCCUAAUACAUGCAAGUCGAGCGAACAGAUGAAGUGCUUGCACUUCUGACGUUAGCGGCGAACGGGUGAGUAACACGUAAGGAAUCUAUCUAUAAGCGGGGGAUAACAUUCGGAAACGGGUGCUAAUACCGCAUAAUAUCUUCUUCCGCAUGGAAGAAGAUUGAAAGACGGCUCUGCUGUCACUUAUAGAUGACCUUGCGGUGCAUUAGUUAGUUGGUGGGGUAACGGCCUACCAAGACGAUGAUGCAUAGCCGACCUGAGAGGGUGAUCGGCCACAUUGGGACUGAGACACGGCCCAAACUCCUACGGGAGGCAGCAGUAGGGAAUCUUCCGCAAUGGGCGAAAGCCUGACGGAGCAAUGCCGCGUGAGUGAAGAAGGCCUUCGGGUCGUAAAACUCUGUUAUAAGAGAAGAACAAAUUGUAGAGUAACUGCUACAGUCUUGACGGUAUCUUAUCAGAAAGCCACGGCUAACUACGUG
rnacentral:rRNA from 1 species